rnacentral:rRNA from 1 species
GACGAACGCUGGCGGCGUGCUUAACACAUGCAAGUCGUACGGUAAGGCCCUUUCGGGGGUACACGAGUGGCGACCGGGUGAGUAACACGUGAGUAACCUGCCCACAACUUUGGGAUAACGCUAGGAAACUGGUGCUAAUACUGGCUAUGUGCUCCUGCUGCAUGGUGGGGGUUGGAAAGCUCCGGCGGUUGUGGAUGGACUCGCGGCCUAUCAGCUUGUUGGUGGGGUAGUGGCCUACCAAGGCGGCGACGGGUAGCCGGCCUGAGAGGGUGACCGGACACAUUGGGACUGAGACACCGCCCAGACUCCUACGGGAGGAAGCAGUGGGGAAUAUUGCACAAUGGGCGCAAGCCUGAUGCAGCAACGCCUCGUGCGGGAUGACGGCCUUCGUGUUGUAAGCCGCUUUCAGCAGGGACGAAGCUUUUUGUGACGGUACCGGAAGAAGAAGCACCGGCUAACUACGUG